GUCUCGGUAGCGCAGGUGGUAGCGCGAUGGGCUCGUGAUCCAGAAUCGCGAGUUCGAGCCUCGCCCGAGACA